AUUACCCAAUAAUAAUAUAAAAUAAAAAAUAAUUAAAUAAUCAAAUAUACAAAUAUAACUUGUAAAAAUUGUAAAACAAAAUAAAAGCAAAGUCACACGCACUAGCAAAAGCAAAGUAACAUAACGCCAAGUCACCAACAAUUUGCAAAGUCACCCAAAAGCAAAGUAACAUGACGCCAAGUCACCAAUAAUUUGCAAACAAAAAACCCUAAGCUUCCCCGCCGUCACACACACUAGCAACACUCAAUACUGGUUGGAUACACUCUCGACACGGAUUUGAAGGACAUCGGCCACGCGAUUCAGGCGAAAGCAAGCCAUCUUAUUUCCCAAGUCGAUCGAGCCACUUCACAUUCACUGGUUCCAACUGAACAAUUUCACUAUUACAACCUUCAAGAUCGCCACCCGUACGGCUUCUCCUGGUUCCCAUCGUGGACGGCUUCGUAAUCACCACUUUUCGACAGGCGCAACAGCCCUGGUGAAGGAUUAGACUGUGUUUGGUUUUCAAAACUUCGUUAUUUCAAUUAAUUGUGGCUUUAUUUGAACAAUUAAUUUCGGUGUUAUAUUAACGUAUUAUUGUAACUUUAUUUGAACAAUUAAGCUUGGUGUGUUAUAUUUUGAAACUUUGAACGUAUUAUUGUAGUUUUAUUUGAAUAAUUAGUCUCGAUGUGUUAUAUUUUGAAACUUUAAAUGUAUUAUUUUAGCUUUAUUUAAAU
rnacentral:lncRNA from 1 species